rnacentral:rRNA from 1 species
UACGAAGGGGGCUAGCGUUGCUCGGAAUCACUGGGCGUAAAGCGCACGUAGGCGGAUUGCUAAGUCAGGGGUGAAAUCCUGGAGCUCAACUCCAGAACUGCCUUUGAUACUGGCGAUCUUGAGUCCGGGAGAGGUGAGUGGAACUGCGAGUGUAGAGGUGAAAUUCGUAGAUAUUCGCAAGAACCCCCGUGGCGAAGGCGGUUCUCUGGGACGGUACUGACGCUGAGACGCGAAAGCGUGGGGAGCGAACAGG